rnacentral:rRNA from 1 species
GAUCCGGUGCUUGCACCGGGGAUUAGUGGCGAACGGGUGAGUAACACGUGAGUAACCUGCCCUUAACUCUGGGAUAAGCCUGGGAAACUGGGUCUAAUACCGGAUAUGACUCCUCAUCGCAUGGUGGGGGGUGGAAAGCUUUUUGUGGUUUUGGAUGGACUCGCGGCCUAUCAGCUUGUUGGUGAGGUAAUGGCUCACCAAGGCGACGACGGGUAGCCGGCCUGAGAGGGUGACCGGCCACACUGGGACUGAGACACGGCCCAGACUCCUACGGGAGGCAGCAGUGGGGAAUAUUGCACAAUGGGCGAAAGCCUGAUGCAGCGACGCCGCGUGAGGGAUGACGGCCUUCGGGUUGUAAACCUCUUUCAGUAGGGAAGAAGCGAAAGUGACGGUACCUGCAGAAGAAGCGCCGGCUAACUACGUGCCAGCAGCCGCGGUAAUACGUAGGGCGCAAGCGUUAUCCGGAAUUAUUGGGCGUAAAGAGCUCGUAGGCGGUUUGUCGCGUCUGCCGUGAAAGUCCGGGGCUCAACUCCGGAUCUGCGGUGGGUACGGGCAGACUAGAGUGAUGUAGGGGAGACUGGAAUUCCUGGUGUAGCGGUGAAAUGCGCAGAUAUCAGGAGGAACACCGAUGGCGAAGGCAGGUCUCUGGGCAUUAACUGACGCUGAGGAGCGAAAGCAUGGGGAGCGAACAGGAUUAGAUACCCUGGUAGUCCAUGCCGUAAACGUUGGGCACUAGGUGUGGGGNGACAUUCCACGUUUUCCGCGCCGUAGCUAACGCAUUAAGUGCCCCGCCUGGGGAGUACGGCCGCAAGGCUAAAACUCANAAGGAAUUGACGGGGGCCCGCACAAGCGGCGGAGCAUGCGGAUUAAUUCGAUGCAACGCGAAGAACCUUACCAAGGCUNUGACAUGAANCCGGUAAUACCUGGAAACAGGUGCCCCGCUUGCGGUCGGUUUACAGGUGGUGCAUGGUUGUCGUCAGCUCGUGUCGUGAGAUGUUGGGUUAAGUCCCGCAACGAGCGCAACCCUCGUUCUAUGUUGCCAGCACGUGAUGGUGGGGACUCAUAGGAGACUGCCGGGGUCAACUCGGAGGAAGGUGGGGACGACGUCAAAUCAUCAUGCCCCUUAUGUCUUGGGCUUCACGCAUGCUACAAAUGGCCGGUACAAAGGGUUGCGAUACUGUGAGGUGGAGCUAAUCCCAAAAAAGCCGGUCUCAGUUCGGAUUGGGGUCUGCAAC